UACUACGCUCACACAAAGAUAUCGCAACAGUGGCGACGAGUAUUUUUCGAAUCCGUGCUAAAUUGUGCGUAGUCCGUCGUUUUAAGAGUCGCGAAGUCGGUAACCUCUAAAUCGUCGCGUCAUGACAACUCCUACGGUACCAGGUUCGGUGGGCAACCAGCAGCCGCAGAGCAUGACCGAGGCCAUUAUGCAGAUUUUGUCCAACCAGCAAAGUCUCAUGACGAAAAUGUCGGAACAAUUGGUCUCAACUCAGCAGACGAUCCAAAGUCUGUCACGUGACGAAGUCGUCUUGGAUUCGCUUUCCAGUAAUAUGGCCGAGUUCACGUACGACAAAGAAGGCGGACAUACUUUCGAUGCUUGGUUUUCGCGAUACAUCGAUCUUUUUGAUCGCGAUGCUUCCAAGCUAGACGACGCAGCAAAAGUACGACUCCUUCUGAGGAAGUUGAGUCCCCCCGACCAUGAGCGGUAUAGCAGUUUUAUACUACCCAAGCUCGCUCGGGACUUUUCAUUCGCGGAGACGGUGGAAAAGCUGAAAUCUUUGUUUGGAGCGUCUAUCUCUUCGUUCCGGAGGCGCUACAAUUGCCUACAGACUUCAAAAGAGGAGAGUGAAGAUUAUUUGGCAUAUUCCUGCCGUGUGAAUAAAGCUUGUGUUGAUUUCAAGCUAACCGAAUUGCAAGAAGAACAAUUCAAGUGUCUUAUUUUUGUGUGUGGCUUGAAAUCAACCGUUGACACUGAGAUCCGUAUGAGGCUUAUAAAUAAACUGAACGAAAAUGUGAACUUAACGUUACAACAAGUUAGGCCCGUUCAACAGCCAAUUGAAAUUGGUUUCAAUCGAUUUCGAUUGGUAAAUUGUUGUUCACUCAGCCAAUGUUUUGGUCGGAACUAAUCCAAUUGACGUUCAAUGAAGCCAAUCGGAAUCGAUCGAAACCAAUCGAAAUCGAUCAAGCCCAAGAGCAGGAUUCAUUUCUAUCGGUUUCUAUCGCACUAACACAAAUGCAGUUGUUUACUGUCAAAAAACAGCUGAUUCGGUUUGGUUUUUAAUUUUCAAAAUUGAAACUGAUGUCAUUCGUUAGUUAGUGUGAUUCGUACAAAUGAAACUGGAGUCAAUCGGUGCAGCGUCGGUGUUGCUGUGCCAGUGAUGUUGUGUAAGAGGUGCUGUGCUGGUGGUGCAGGUGGUGUGGUGUCAUUUGAUUCGGUGUUCUCUGUCGGGUGCUGAGUCGGUGAUGCUGUGCCACUCGUGCUAUGUCGGUGGUGCUGUGCCACUCGUGCUAAGUUGGUGGUGCUGUGCCACUCGUGCUAAGUCGGUGGUGCUGCCAGUCGUGCUGUGUCGGUGGUGCUAGUGUUGGAAUGGUGUCUAGCAAUUGCUAGAGACAAAAACAGCUGUUUCGUUUCUGUGGACCGUGCAGGUGCUAGUGAAAGUGGUGUCGGUCUAUGUCUCGUCGGCAGUUAUGUGUCAGAGGUGCUGUGUCAGUGAUGUAGUUUUAGUAGCAUUAUUCAAUGCAGUUGCUGCACCGAACAGUGUAACAGCCUACACAGAAAAAAAUAAUGACUAUUACGUGUCAUUGAAACAGUUGUCUGUAAAAAAAUAUAACCUGUAAUUUAAAAAAUCACGUUAUUUCAAAUUGAGUUCCUAGAAAAUAAAUAAAACUCAUUCAAAAUUACAGCAAAUGUGCUGUAACAAGAAGGAGCAUGACAUUUGCCGUAAUUUUACAGGUUGAAAAACAAUUACGUGUCGUUGAAUUACGCGGAGUCUUAUAAUUUUCAAUUGCGCAUAAAAAAAUUAAAGUCCGUAUGGCAUCCCAGUUGCGCACCAAAGGAAAACGUCAAAAGUUCACGCGCUAAAAUCGUAAACACGCUCGUGCUGUUUAUGUUUUUGUUUAUGUGCGGUUCGAAAAAUUUGUUUAUCGUGGAUCAAAUCGCUCGUCAUAUCGAAUUUAAAACAAUCUCCGGCGAAAAUGAUCGGCGGCAACAUGAAGUUUGCGAUUCCUGGCAUUUCUUCACAGAGGAAAAUUCUGUGAACGAGGCACAUCGACCCGGCCGAGAAGAUUGAUAAAGAGAAUAUUUUUUGGUCAAAUUACGGCGUGUUCGUAAAUUGAUUUUUUCUAUCGAAGUGAUUAUUUUUAUCGAUGCUGGCGUUCGUAAAUUCCAAACAAACGUAUGCAAAAGCAUAUGGAAAGUGAUUUGACAUCUACCAAACAAAUCAAUCGACUGAUGCAUCACCCAAAAAAAUCAAUUUACGAACGCGCCGUUAGUGGUAAGUUUCUAGUUCUAAGUGUACAUCAACAUCUUACAUGUUAUAUUCGAUCGUUCUAGCUGCAAGGAAGGCGAGUGCAUCUGCCAAAGUGACCCCCGCCGAUUCUCAUUGAUUCCCCAACUAAAUGGAAAUCAACCCCCUGGCAACUUGAUAGUUCUGGCCUGGGGGAGGAAGACUGAAUAAAAAAAGAAAAAAAAAAUUCAAACGUCAAAUUUCUCUCAUCAAUUUACCGACAAGUGCGAAGGUUCAAAAUUUCACUUUCUUAUUUAGUAAUUUUUAAUAAAACUUUUUUCAUGCUAAAAAGCACUUGUUUUGCAUAAAACAAUGAUUUAAUUAGGUUUUGCUUUGCUCUGGUAAAUUCCUGCAUGAUCAGGCGUAUUAUGUCGCUCAAAUUUCGUCAAAGUUUUGAAGCUGAUAAAUAAAAAUGGCUUGAUUAAUGGUUGUUCUAAAAAUAUAGCUAAAUCUAAAUUUAGCACCUAAACAACUGAGUUACAUGACUCACUACACGAAACUGAUCAUCGUAAGUUAAAAUUUGAACGAUUACAAAUCUUUUCAACAAUUGCUGGCUUUUUGCCAAACAGUAAAAAAACGAUGCAGAAAACGAUGCAGCAAAUUUCAGUCUUCCUCCCCCAGGUUCUGGCGAGUUUCGUGUGCCUGAUUAAAAUUCGCAGAUGUCGCAUGUGUACCGCUUGUUUACAUACUUUUCGAACCAUGCGUAUGGAAAGGGCACAUCAUCAAAUGUGGUGCGAAUCAUAAAAUUCGAAUGGAUGAAAAAAAGUUUCAACCGAAACUAUUACUCUCAUUCAAUAUUCUACCUAUUUAUUUAUUGUAUAGGAACAGUUUUCCAUAAACCGAGGCAUUUUCUGCUAUAAUUUGAAUGAUUUGUUAUACUAAAAUUUUCAUAUGUCUCGCAGUUUAUGAAAAUCACUCAAUGAUGGUUGUGGUAAUGUUUUGUUUUACAAUUAUUGUGUACGAUCGUCAACAAUAGUUUCAGUGGAAUAGGGGUUCUUUUCCCAAAAAUCUGCCGUAUAUUAGUGAAUUAUUUUGAUCAGUCCAGAAGUUUUAAACCUUAUAAAGGACACACAGAUUUACGUCUGUGUGCCGUUUGCUUCGACUGAACUUCUGAAAACAAAUUCACUCUACGUAUAACUGAGCUAAUUUUCAAUUCUUAACAUUUUUUUCAUUUGUUGAAUCGAUUAAAAGAAACCAUAUUUCCAUAUGCGCCUUUCCGACAUGUUAAGUCGCUUGAUUUUCGAUUUGACAGAACCAGAGAACCAGAAAAAACUGGCACACGCGAUUUGUAUGGGAAACGUCAAGUUGCCAGGGGGUUGAUGGAAAUCCAUCGGUGCACAAGAGGCGGCUCGAAAAGAACAUAAAAAAACGGUCCUAAGUGAUUCAAACUUCUUCCAAUUUGUGGAUUUAACGAACACAUCGAAAUCGAUGCAAAUGUGCGAAACAAUUUGAUUCGUUCAUAAAGCGCAAAUUUCUGAUCGAAAUUCCGGAAACUGUUAAUUCAAAACACGAUUGCUCGAAAUUAGCUUCAUGUUCAAUAGACAAUGCCAUUGAAAAAUGCCGAAACGAAGAUUAUGACAACGGGAGCGCAGGGUCUCAGGAAGUACCUUUGGAGCUACCUCAGUUUAACGGAAUGUGGUAGAGGAAGAUGAGACAUUAUCCCUAAACUUCUUUUACGAUGCUUUUUCAAUUCAGAUUCGAUUACUGGGACCAGAAAAAUCUUAUCUAAAUUUAUCAGAUGACCCAUAAUAAUAAAUACAAUAAAAUUUGAUAACCGCAAUCUUAACUUUCACCAGAGAAACUUUAUUGUAUCGCCUCAUCGAGUAUUCUAAGCACCGCUGAUCCAAUAUGAAGGAAUUCUGGGUGUGCUUAUCAGUUCUAAAUUGUACAACAGCCGCAGAUACAAGAUCAUGAGUAAUACGACUUGAGAAGUAGGAAUAUCGGCCAAACUACCUCACCUUGAUGAAGAAGAAACUGAAUAAGGAACGCUCAUUUGGCGAUAGGGGAGCGUACCUUGAAACAUGAAGUGUAUAUUCGAACGGCUGAUUUUGCAACAUGUGCUGAGAUCACACAGGAUUUAGUGCAAAUUUAUUAAUGAUGGUUUGAAGAUAAUGUAACAACGGUAGACAUAUUAAAAAUUACAAUGCUAUACUUUUCAUCGAGAAGAACUCGAUAUUUUAAAGGAGAAGUUAUUUUUCGCGUUUUCUGUUGGACUCAACUAUAAUGCGGACACCAACAGUGCUGGUCUACCAACAUUUCAGAAUGCAGGCUGUUAAUUUUCACAUUGUGAUAUUAUCACAGCUGCUUCAACAAUGCCAACCGUACUUGUACUUAAAACGCAAAAAUGAACCCCCGAAAAAAGCAAAAAUGUACGGUCCUAGUAGAGUUUAGACGAUUGUACCUUUUUAUAUUUGCUCAUUAUGAGCUAUGAGGCAACCAUAAUCCUGUAGUGACUAACUUUAUAAGGCAGAAUUUGGAUUUAGUACCUAAAAUAAAAAUAAAAUAAUUGCUGUUAUAGCAUUUUAUAAAUAUUGCGUUUUAAUUGAUAUUUAUCUCAAAUCCUAUUUAUUUUGUAAAUAAUUUCUAACAAUAAAUUUAAAAGCAAGCGUGAGGUACGGUUUUAAAUCCUGGACCUGUAAUUUCAAACCUGCAUGUAAAAAAAAUUAUCACGUAAAAAUCAAUGACACUGAAAAUUAUUUCGACCUGUAAUAUUAUAGUAAAUGUCCUGCUCCUUUUUGUUACAGGAUAUUUGCCGUAAUUUUACGGCAAAUAAUUUUUGCUGUGUAGUGAACCUCAGACAAGAUACACAGUAAAUGAAAAUUACCGAGUUCGGUAAUUUUUUUACCGAAAUCCUAACAUGUGGAGUUCGUUAAACCGUUCGGUAAUUUUUCUCAUGGCAGAGAAGUGACAGCUGUCAAAUAUUACAGACCUUUUUCGGUAAAACAUUACCGAA